rnacentral:lncRNA from 10 species
CCUCCCAAAGAGCUGGGAUCACAGGCACAAGCCACUGCACCACUGCACCCAGCCACCUCUCUCUCAUUUGUCACCUUCCAGUCAAUCAGAGAAGCCCAAGGUCCCAAUAGAGAGGGUCACAACUGCCAAAAGCUUUAGAUAUGUCCUCUAAUCUCCCUGACAAGGUCAUGUGAGUAUUAUCAUCUCCUAUACAGAUGAGGAAACAGAGGCUCAGAGGAGUUAGGACACACAGCAAGCAUCAAGAUAUUUUGGUGCCAAAUAAUUUGA